UACAGAGGUCCCGAGCGUUGUUCGGAAUCACUGGGCGUAAAGGGUGCGUAGGCGGGUCUUUAAGUCAGGGGUGAAAUCCUGGAGCUCAACUCCAGAACUGCCUUUGAUACUGAGGAUCUUGAGUUCGGGAGAGGUGAGUGGAACUGCGAGUGUAGAGGUGAAAUUCGUAGAUAUUCGCAAGAACACCAGUGGCGAAGGCGGCUCACUGGCCCGGUACUGACGCUGAGGUGCGAAAGCGUGGGGAGCAAACAGG
rnacentral:rRNA from 1 species